UGAUAUUUUCUUCUAUCUAUUUAAAAGGCUUCUAUUUCAUAUAUUUUGCUAAUAUUUUAAUAUUUUUGUUCUGUUUAUUUAAAAAGGUUCUAUUUGAUAUAUUUUGUUGAUAUUUUAAUAUUUCUGUUCUGUUUAAUAUGUCACCCCCCCCCCCCCCCCCCCCCAUUUAUUUAAAGGGUCCUCUUUCAUACUCUCACACGACUUUAAAGUCAUAAACGUCCCAUUAAAAAUCCUAUAUAAUAGUCCUCGUUAAAAUAUUACUGCUUGAAAUGAUCUCUUCAAAAACAACAACAGUAUGACAAGCGGCGUGAGGAACAUCAGUAUAAUAAUUCUGUUCGGGUUCACGCUGUCGAAUCAUGAAGGAAGUUCACACAGCGGUGCACUUUAUAAGAGUAACUUUAUAAUAAGGUAUAAACAAAUUUGAAAAAAUGCUUACACUGUUCCUGAACGACUUAUAAAUCAGUUUUGUCGAGGUGUUUCUGCUUUUGUGUGUGUGUGUGUGUGUGUGUGUGUGUUGUUUUUUUUCUGGCUGAAGGUGAAGCAACAGCAGGAAGUCUGUUAUUUAACUAAUCCUUUUAAACGUUUCCUUUUGCGCAAAAAAAAACCCCAAAAAACAAAAGAAAACAGACCAGGAUGAAAACCAGCCAGGAGACAUAGCGUGGUUUAUUUGUUGCUGAUUUUUUUUUUUCAUGGUGUCGUUAUUACAGCAAAAAUAAUCAAUCAAACCGACACGUGUUUUCCAGGCGUGUUUGGUGGUCGAGCUUCGUUAGGAGCGCUGUCCAGAUGUCCAGGUUUAUGGAGCUAACAAGUAACGGCGGGUAUCGAGCGAGUCGAAACGUAUCCCGGAUAGCACAGCGACGUCAGUGAGGUGACGUGACGGAUACCGGUUUCUCACGAGGUGGGUUUGAUGAAGUCGACGAUUGUAUGAAAAAAGAACCCUGAUAUUCUGAUAAACAUGGAAACCAAGUACAGUACAACAGAGGAUAUCUAUUUCAAGGGUUAAAAAAAAAGGAUUCAAAGAACCCUCAAAGAACUACUGAGGAACGUGAAAAGCAAUCUGUGUGCAAAACGAUGAGCAAGAGUGAGCGACGGACCAGGCGGGAGGACAAACUGUCCAUUGUCCCACUAAUUUGAUGAUAGAGACCAUUUCCAAUCAGCUCAGUGUCUUUUGUUUCACAGAAAACCAACCACAUGUCUCUCAGUCAGUGAACUCUAAAUGAUUUUUAAUCCUGUCUGCAAAGUGGCCGGUCUGAUCAGGCUGACAGACGCUUCCACUUGUUCACUUCAUUCCCCCUGACUGGAAUGGAUCUCACCCACUUUGCGUGACGGCGAAGGACAUCAGGACAUUCUGAAAUGUUUCCUCCAAUAUCUCCAUGAUAGCUAGCAUUAUUGAGUCAGAAGCUUCAUUACAUGAGGCCAGGAUUACGCUACAAUUACUUCCCUCUGAUACAGUGAGACAUAGGACGUCGGUCCAUCUUCAGUACAGGACAAAAUGAUAUCCAAAUCCUGGCGAAGGACGACAAUAUUCGCAUGGCGGUUUGGCUAUCGGUAUACUUCCGAACAAACAAACAUCGACCCGAACAGUGUGAACGUGGGUACGCAGAGAAAGGUUUAUAACCGUGUUGAAUGUCCCAGACAUGCUGAGACGCAUGGUGGAACUGAAUUCUUCCUUCCUGAUUAGCACUGGCCUCGCUCAAAGAACACACUGGAAGCACACAGCAUAAAUCUCUCAGCAAAGAAUUAGAAAUGGAGGCAUGUCACAUAUUUCAACGGUCACUGGUUCACAGCGAGAGAUCUUAUUUGGCAGCAGAUCACUUAGCGUGACGGGCUGAGGUUCUCCGGACUGGUCCUCCGCAGAAUCAUGUAUAUAUAGGCCUCUAUCUCCAUGGUGUGUGUAAAUAGUACAAAUUCACCCUAAAGUUUCCAAGUACAGCCCUUUGUAGAGCGUUCAAAGAAACAUUCAAAGAACUUUUCCAGCACGCUUUUGGAAGAGCUUUCACGCUUAAAAAUGGUCCGUGGAGAACCCCAGAACAGAGAACUUUCCUCUACAGGAAGCUUGGAUCUUACACUUGCUAAGAAUCCUUGAGAUCUAAACCCCCCCCCCAAAGAAAUGAAUCUAAUUUUGCUCCUCUAGGGGGAACCCCCUCAAUGGGUUUACGU
ensembl:lncRNA